AUGUGCAUAUUUAAGAAGUCACUGAGUUUUAGAAUAAUCAUAAGUGACAAUGAAGAAAAGAUGUGUCCCUUAUGCACUGAAGAGAUGGAUCUUACUGAUCAGCAAUUGAAGCCAUGCAAAUGUCGUUAUGAGAUAUGUGUUUGGUGUUGGCAUCGUAUAUUGAAUGAGGCUAAUUCUGGGGGCCGUUGUCUGGCAUGUCGCUCACCAUAUGAUGAAGAAAAAAUCGUAGGCAUGGCAGCAAUCUGUGGAAGGUUGUCGGUGGUCGGGAUCAAUGUUGAGCAUAAACAGAAAUUGCAGAAGGCCAAGUGGAAAGCACCUGAAGGAAGGAAGGAUCUAAGUAGCAUUUGAGUUAUUCAGCGAAACAUAGUGUAUAUAAUUGGAUUGCCUGUUAACUUUGCAGAUGAAGAUCUUCUUAAGCGCUGGGAGUACUUUGGCCAGUAUGGAAAGGUUCUGAAGGUGUCUAUCUCUCGAACACCAAGUGGGGUUAUUAUUCAACAUUUUGCAAACAAAAGUUGCUGUGUGUAUAUAACAUACUCAAAAGAGGAGGAAGCCAUUAAAUGCAUUUGAUCAGUGCAUAAUUUUAUCUUAGAUGGUAGAUCCUUGAGGGCAUGUUUUGGAACCUCAAAAUAUUGUUAUUCAUGGUUGAGAAAUGUGCCUUGCAACAAUCAAGAUUGUUUGUAUUUGCAUGACUUUGGCUCUCCAGAAGAUAGCUUCAGCAAAGAUGAUAUUGAUUCAGCAUUCACUAGAGUUCAACAAAUUGUUGGUGUGACAAAUAAUACCCAACGUUCAGGGAAUAUUCUGCCGCUAGCAGAAGAAUGUUGUAUAAUGUCAUCUACAGAAAAUAUUGCAAAAGAUCAUUCAAAUUUAAGACUCUUUUAUUUAUGGAAUAUUGGGAACCAGCUCAGGGAAUCCUUUGUUGAUGGCAGCACUAGAAGCUUUAAUUUUGUGGAAGUUAGCUUAGAGAUAUCUCCCACCAUUAUUACAUCUACUGGCCUUUUAGCUUGUCUGCCAAUAUCCAAAGCAAAUAUUAAAGCUAGUGUGGCACCAGUCUCCAUCACAAGAUCCUUAGAACUCACAAAAGAAUCUUGUUGUCCUGGUUUGGAUAAAGAUGGAGAUCUUGAUGUAGACUGUAAGUUUCUGAGCUUGUUUUCUGGAUUAUCGUCAGUUACCAUGAAUAGUGGUCUUGAACAAGAACACUCCAAUCCUGCUGUUACAAACAGUUCAAUUUGCAUUGAUCUUUUAGUAAAAAAGCCUAGAAAGGAAGGUUCAGAGCAACAUGAUAUGAAUCUAUUCAAAGAACCUUCAACAUCAGAAGCAUUGGAAGAAACUACCACAUCUUCCACCAGUACUGUGUGUUUUCAAGAGAAAGAGGAUUUGCUAGCUUUUGAUGAUCAGAGACUGAAUGGUUCAGAAAGCAUCUGUCAUCCACCAUCUGAAUCUUUUCCACAUAAUGUGCUUAAGAUUUUAGAUCAGUCAAGCCCUCAUUCUUGGAAGCAAAAUGAAAUUUGCAAUAGGAAUAUUCUUCAUGAAGAUCCUAGGAUUUUACCUACAGAACACAAUGAAGCAAUUUUGCCAUUUAUAUCCAGGAGCUCACUAUCAUCUAACGAAUUCAGAACUAACAGAGGUAGCAGCUUUUCUGAAUCAGAGAGUACUAUUGAGUGUUCCAGUGUUGUGUCGGAUGCUGGGAAAGAUGAGCACCUAGGGAGGUUUGAUAACAAUAUAGCUGUUGACAGUGAUGUUGCUCAAGAUAUGAGAGAGAGCAACAUAAUCUCUAAUAUACUUUCUAUGGAUUUGGAUGCAUGGGAUAAUUCAUUAAUCUCACCUCACAACUUAGUUAAGUUGUUGCGUCAAAUGGAUGAUCAACAGGGUUCCUUCAAGAUACCAAAUUUGCAGAAAAUACAAAAUUGUAGCCAAUCCAGAUUCUCAUUUGCAAGACAGGAGGAUUUUUCAAAUCAAAUUGCUGAUUUGGACCAUUCGGACAGUAAUAUUAGGAGCACACUGAAUAAAUAUUCUGCUCCACAAAAUUUCAUGUUAAAUAAGGAUUAUUGUUUGGAAAGAUAUCAAAAGAUCUCUUUGUCCAGCAGUUCUACGGCAUCUGAGGAUCAUCCUAUCUGUUCUUUUCCCUCUUCCAACAAGCUCUCUGCUUACUCUGGCCCCUCACUACAAACCAAAAAUUCUGUUCUCUGGAGUUUCAACAACUUGAAAGUCAACCCCACCGGGAUUUUCAGUACUGAGCCGGGCAUCACCUCCAGUGGUUUUUUCUCACGAGGGAGUGGACCUGCCUUCUCACAACUAUGGUUUGUGUUUUUUUAUGAUGGUUUUAAGGUUUUCUAUUUUGAAUAGUUUCUAAUUUUCCUUCACU